GCCCUGGUGGCGCAGUGGUUAAGAGCCUGGCUGCUAACCAAAAGGUUGGUGGUUCAAACUCACCCUGCGGCU
rnacentral:tRNA from 1 species